rnacentral:lncRNA from 1 species
UAAAUUAUCUCAACCUCGCUUCCCGCAUCUUGUCCUCCACAGAGGCCACUCCCACCUUGUCCUAGAUAUCCACAUUCCUAAUCAUAUCUCUCCUAGAAUGCUCACACAUCCACCUCAGCAUCCUCAUUUUCGUUAUUUUCUUCUUCUGGACAUGAGAGUUCUUGCUUGGCCAAUACUCCGUGGCAUACAACAUACUCAGUUGAAUCACCACUCUAUUAAAUUUACUUUUAAGUCUAGGUUGCAUAUGUUGUCAAAUCACCACUCUAUAAAACUUACCUUUAAGUCUUUGUGGCACC